CUCUGAUCUUGUGGUUCACUUCUCUGCUUUUACUGAUUUUUCCAUUGGCUCCCAUCUAGCACAGCUGCCAUACAUUCCUUACUCCCACAGCAGUUCAUCACUUACUCAUGGAGCCUCAUGACAUCUGGUAUUUGAGAUGAAGGUGCCCAAGAGCAGGAUAAGAUUCUUCUUCCUUCUGCCCUCCCCUUCCCGCAAAGCUGAGUAAUACUUAUUCACUAGAGGCUGCUGGAGCUCAGACUCCUUUCUCACAAAUUCUCCGUGGGCAGCACGGCAGGGGUAUGUCAGUGGAGUGUUUAGAGAUAUGACAUUUUAAAAAUAAACUUUGUUUCUAAAAUGAGCUGUGAAAUGAUUCUAUUCUGGAAACCGCUAAUCUCCCACCCGCCCACGCGCACACAAUCUCCUUCUGGCCUGGAAUUCUCUUCUCUGUCUGAUAAAUUGUCAGCAUGGUGCUGCUAUCCCUCUGGAACAAACAAAGGAAAUGCAUCAGAAGAACACAACUACACACGGAACGCACAUCACCAAGCGGUGGUUAACACUGAGAUUCCUCAGAUGAAAGCCAAUUUCAAUGAACAUUGUGUUUCAGGGCCCACUUCCUUUUGCUCUGUAAGGCUUAGGAUGGAACAUCCCACUUAUGUCUGCCGACACAAAGGAAUGCUGUGGCUUGAGCGAUGUUAUCAGGGCUUCCCGUGCCCCUGCAACACUGUUCCAGUUGUGUCUCAUAAGAAUUACUCAUUGUUUCAAGGGAGGACUGACUCCUUUGGGUGGGAUCCCAUGGCAUCUAAUUCAGUGGAAGUAGGUGGUGCUGGGAGGUCAGCCAGGCACAUGACACAGAUCUCCAGCUACAGAGGAGCCAAAUAAGGGAGCCAAGCUAACAAAGCCCUUAGUAAUCAUAGAUUUGGAGAUUGAUUCAUAAAAUGCAUACUUUUAUGUUUUUUUUCAAAUAUAGUUAGGAACAAAAAAAAAAAAAUUAUUGAAUACUGCUAGAAGUGCUUUCCUAAGACUGCAACGCCCUUGUUCAGGCUGUUCUCAUCUCAGUUGCAGAGGCAAUGUUAACUUCUAUAAACUGUUUAGCCAAUUUCUUAGGGUGAGGCUCAAUUCUUUCACCAUAUCCUGAAGUGGGAAAAUAACUUGAUUUGAGGUUAGAUGCUUUUGAGUAGAUUUAGAGGCAAGUUCCCAAAGGCUCUGUAUUCAGGUUUCUCUCAUAGCAGUGUGGAUACAUAUUCAAAUUACCCAAAUAUAUUUAGUCUCUAAAUUUAGACUGGGAGUACUAUAAAAGUCUUCCUUGUAAGAUUUCUGUGCUGGUGUCUCCAGUGCCAGCUGGAGUAUGCAGUGAUC
rnacentral:lncRNA from 1 species